rnacentral:rRNA from 1 species
AGGACGAACGCUGGCGGCGUGCUUAACACAUGCAAGUCGAGCGGAAAGGCCCUUCGGGUACUCGAGCGGCGAACGGGUGAGUAACACGUGAGUAACCUGCCCUUGGCUCUGGGAUAGCUCCGGGAAACCGGAAUUAAUACCGGAUAUGACCUCGGCCGACAUCGGCUGCGGUGGAAAGAUUUAUCGGCCAGGGAUGGGCUCGCGGCCUAUCAGCUUGUUGGUGGGGUAACGGCCUACCAAGGCGACGACGGGUAG